rnacentral:rRNA from 1 species
UACGUAGGGGGGCUAGCGUUGUCCGGAAUCAUUGGGCGUAAAGCGCGUGUAGGCGGCCCGGUAAGUCCGCUGUGAAAGUCGGGGGCUCAACCCUCGGAUGCCGGUGGAUACUGUCGGGCUCGAGUACGGAAGAGGCGAGUGGAAUUCCUGGUGUAGCGGUGAAAUGCGCAGAUAUCAGGAGGAACACCAAUGCGAAGGCAGCUCGCUGGAACGUAACUGACGCUGAGACGCGAAAGCGUGGGGAGCAAACAGG